CCCUCCUCUUUCCCUCAUCCACACAGCCCCCUCCCGAUUCCCCACCGCCGCCACCACCCUUCCCAUGGCUCCUCCGACAGCUCACCGCCGGCCCUCCCCCUCCCCUUCUCUCACAUCACAGCUCCGGCAGCUGUCAGAUCCACUGCAUCCCCCACCCAUCCACUCCUCUCGCGACCCAACUCUCUGUCUCAUGCGACCCUCACGCCGCGACCAACACCAUCGAUUCCGGCGAUGUCCACCAGCUCGCAGCACACCGACGAGCUAGUCUCCGACCCCUUCGUCCUCUGGUCCGGCUGGAUCCGCCACUUCUGGUCUCCGGCGCUCGCCCACGACACCUCGCCUAUGGCUAGGGUUUCGGCUGCGGCGUCACGUCCAUCACCGGCUCGUCUCCGGCGGCUCCUCCCCGUCGGACACCGUGCCCUCUCCACCCCUGGGUGGUGCCCCCUAGCUAGGUGCGCUCGUGUGUGUUGGUCUGUAUGGCGUUGACCCCGACCUCCUUUGUCGCGUCUUCGGCGCAGCCGUGCAUCCCGUGCAUCAUGUGAUGGCCUCCUCUGCCGCGCGACGGUGGUAGCCAACCUGAACUGCGGCCGCUGCAUCGCCUACGAUCUUCUUCAGUGAGCACUUGUACCUCUGCUCUCUCCGCUACAACAUCUCCUGCUUAUCUUAUUUCGUGUGUUGUUCAUGAGUAUUGGUGGAACUGAUAACAAUCAUGUGUAUUGUUAGAAUUUGUAUUCUCAAAAUUUAUUUGCAACAUUCGCUUGUGACUGAUCACUUUUGAUUCCUGAUAGCAUAGCUAAGGUUAACCAGAUAGAUAUCACAUGAAUUCUGUAAGUUUGUACUUUGCAUGAUUGAGCACAUGACAUCCAGGGCAGGUGAUGCCUAGGUAUUUCAUUUUAGUUGGCACAUUUCAAGGACGAGUAAUAUGGUGUCUAAUAUAUUUGUUUUAGUCUUACCAAUGCAAAGAUGGAAAAUAUGUUCUUUUUACAAUAUCCAAAGGAUGGUCGGUGUUGCACAACUUCAGGUUUCUAAUGCUAGUUCAUUCAUUCCAAGUAGUAAAUAGAUACUUGUUACUUUAUGCAUGAGAAACCUCAGGUACAUCAUGAGGAAAGGGAAAGUCAUGUGCAGCUACCCAUUGUAAAUUGUUCCUUCUUAGUUCAGUUAGUAUGCAAUUGAAUCAAUUCUUUAAGAAUUCAGUUAGUAAAUUUAGACUUUUGGGAAGGCAUAGUUCUUUAAGAAUUUGGUUCAGUUGAGACAACAUUUGCAUUGCAGUAAUAAUGAAAUGAGACCGCAUAUCCAAUUGUCACACUAAUAUCUUUGCUUUGCACAUUAUAGUCAGUGCAUCUCCCACCUGAUCGACGCCGACGCCACGGUCCUCGAGCAGAACAGGGUGAGCUUGAUACCCUUCCAUUCUUGAUGUGAAUUAUUCAGGCUGUAGACUUUCAGUUGUUCAAGGUGUGGACUGUUGUGUGGUUCCAGUACAAUUAUAACUGUACAGAUAUUUUUGUGCGCAUGAAAUCUGCAUUGUACAAUGUCCCUGAUAUUAUGCAUUUUAUUGAUACUCUACUAGAGUUGCUAUCUCUUGUUGUUCAUGGGUUAUGAUUCUGCUUCUACAGAUUUUGAAUUUUUCAUGUAAUAACAAGUAUACCGCUUAGUACUCCACAAAUAAACUAUUAGUGUGGGAGAUCUCUUAGUGAAGCUGUAUCAUAUUCUUUGUUAAUAUUUUGCAUGCCAUUCGAAGUUCACUUGGCAAGCAAGUAUUGUUUAGUACUGUAUAUGUUGGCACUUUGAGAUUUACUUGCAGCAUAAGCAUCAAGUUAGAUGAAAAAUCCUCUGGUGCCGAUAUUGAUUUAAACAUUGAGUUAAUAUAGUCCACAACAUAACAUAUUUUGAUUUGAACUUAUCCUAUGCUUAUGCCUAGUUUGUGUUAAUUAUCUUGAAGUUAGUCUGUCACUUCUUUACUGACAUUCUUGUUUGUUAAGGAAUGGUGUGGUACAGUGUCUAUGCUGGCUGAAUUUUCUUUACAUAAUUUUCAGUUGGUCGCUUGUACAGAAACUUUGAUCCAGAAAAACCAAAACCAAGUACUUGUACAGGCACGCACAGCUUCCUCUCACAAAAAAACUAACUGCCUGUCUCUCUCACUUUUGUUCACAUUUCUUUUUAGAGUGCAGAAAUGUUUGAUCCAGAUAAACUAAAUACCUGUACAGGCGCACAACUUUCUCUCACAACAAAAAAAACCAAGUACUUGUCUGUAUCAUGUUUGUUUGCUUUCUUCUUUGAGAAAUCUCAUGUUUGUUUGCUAGGCCAUAAAAUAAAGAGCUUUUAGCCUGGUUAGCCCCAUGCACUUACUGUUUGUUUGGUCCAGAACCAAUGGCUGAACCAACUGCUGCUACUAAUACACUUUUAGUUCUGUGAUGUGUGUUUGUUACUCAUCACUUGUAAGCUAACUUGAUUAUACUUUCAUUCGACACACUUUUCUUUGGACUAAUUUUGCUUGUUUUCACGUGUGUUACCCACAUUUACGUGGUACCUUAGAAUAGUAGUGGUGUGUCCACGGAUGAUUGAUUGGAAAAUCAACUAAUAUUAUUACUCUUUGGAUUCAUUUGGGAGCUUACUUUUAUAACUUAUUAUAAUUUUGAUUGUGUUCUGAUUCUACACAGGUUUGGCAGUUAAUCCGUGUUACUAGAGAUUGAAGAUUUUUAGCAGGAUUUCUUGGGUCCGGAUAGCUGCCUACAAUCGUUGGUGUUGGAGAUAAAAAUCAGCUAGUAGUGCAUUUUCUUUCAAGUCAUGUAACUCACUCUUAAAAAAAUACUUAUAGGGCUUUCUAGAUAUGCUCGUGAUGUUUUGAUAUUAAGCUUUGCUUUUUCAAAUCAGAUUAGAUGGUUGGAAAUCGGUAUUUUCAUGUAAACAAUUGCUAUUUUUUUAAGGAAUAUAUAAUUUGGUUGUCCUAUUGUAAAUUUUCUUGUAUUGAGAAAACAGGCUGUACAAAAAAGGCCUAAUGGGUUGGACUAAAAAAACAG
rnacentral:lncRNA from 1 species